GGGGGAGGCAAAAGUAGACGCGCACAACACCACCGCAGAUGAACAAGAGAGUAAGAAGAGAGAAAGAAGUAUGAAAUUUGGUUCUUGUUGCGACUGGACAGGAGUCUCACUUACAAACCUUUCAGGAAACAAACUGGGGACAGUUCUGGUGUCAGUCACAGGUGCGGUUACCGGAAGUCGCCAUGUUGGAGGCACUCGGCAGUUUCAGAGAAAUCCUCCGAUUCAGCAAUGACAGUGAUGGAGAUAAAAGGAUCAGCGCUGGCAGUCCCAUUCAUAAUUCAGACAAACCGGUAAAUAAUUAAGAGAAACCACAAGUUUUAAAUCACUUUCGCUGUCUGAGCCCGCGGUCCGCUGACUCACCUGUGCUCGGUGCUGCAGCUCCUCACUGGGCGACUCCGUUUCCCUGAUGACUACAGCUUUUGUCACCAGCAUGUCUGGGUGCUGUUGCUUGGCCUCCUGGAUCGCCAUGGCGAGAGCCUGCGGACGUGAGCGCGUCAGUACGGAGUGUGAUCAUCCCAAGUGCUCAAUCUCAGGUUCUCACCUGAUGCUGGUCCACGUCUUCGUCGCCGGUGAUUAUGAUCCGCUUCUCAAUUCGGGUCUCUGAGUAGCCUCCCUUAACUGUCUGAGGAGCAGGGAGGAAGAGUAUUUUUGGAGUUACGCGCAAUCGAAACAAGUGCUUCACUAGGAAACCUGCUGCAACGUAAACAAGGGUGAGAAGACCUUCUACGUUUUGUCUCCAGAGUCACAUGGAAGUAGAUUUAUUAAAGUAUUAUAUGGUGUUAAUACGCUCAAAAUGUCAGUCUGAAUAUAGUUGUCUGUUUUAAAAUGGAUCAGAGUCUGAGCUGGUCAUGUGACAAGAUGACAUCUCUUCCAACCAGGUUUCAUUGAAAUAUACAUAACAUUCUGUCACCAUAGUUACAAGGAAGUUUAUUCCUUUUAGUGAUGUGACUGUUUGCAGUUCCUGGCAACAUAGGUAACCCACAACGCCAUGGGGAGGGGUCAUAUGAGAGAUCUGCCGAAUGAUCCUGUCAAACCUAUUGAUCGACAACACAGGACGUUUGGCCAAUCACAAUGCUUGAAAUGCCAGGUAAACGUGCAAGUGGAGGGAAAAAAUUACCAAAUAAAUAUCGACCUUCAGAUGAAUAUAUUUCCCCUGUAUUUUUUCUUCUUCAUGAAUGUAGUGUAGAUUUAGCCUUCCCCUCACACACUAGCUCAGAAGUUGCGAUCAAUACUUCCCACGAAUGUAGCAGUGUGCUGUUACUUUUUCAGAAAAACAUUCAGGUCGACUUUGGAAAAGAUGCUCCAAUGUCCUUCAAACUAAAAUGCUUGUUCCAUCAUUGACUGAUUUUUUUUUUUUAUUGUGUAGUUCUUUUCAAAAUGUGAAAGUAUCUAUUCCCUGUCCACUGUGUAGCCCUGAUUAUUUGCAGUUUUAUUAAGUCAGGUUUUCCGUCAGAGCAUGACCUACGACCUGCAGCCGUACAAGUCAGUCAAUAGUCCCUGGCUCCAAAUAGAACACUACUCUGCCAACACAGUUUUCCAUGUUGACAAACAUAGAACUUCCAUGGUGAAGGUGAAGGAAGGUCUCUUCUUUCUGCAGUUGCAAUACUUCACAAGAUUUAGUCUUCAUGUACUGUAAAUGCUCCGUUCAUGGAAUUUUGCCUCCUGUAUUUAUUUAAUGUUAAAUAUUGGUAUUUUAAUAAUAUAAAUCAUUUUCUACAUUUAAAUUAAACUGCAUAAACAUUGUCUUUUCUAAGCUUCACACAGACCUCCAAAUCCAGUUCUCAUAACUAUAAUGUUUGCAGCAAAUGUGUCCAUUGGCGACGUAGCAGUCAGGGCGGCUAGUACCUUGGUGACUUGCGUCGUGGUGGCCGACGUGACGCUCUCUGCCGUGAUGGUCAGCGGGGAGACAACUGAAUCUCUCCCUGAUGUGCUGCCUUUUAUCUGAAGAGUAGCCAUUAAACCUUGUCAACCUUAGUGCUCACACACAGACACAAACACUCAGAGACUCACAGGAGAUCCGUUCUCCUUGAUAGCAGCCGGAGCCUCCCGAGGACUGACCGCUCCGAAGUUCUGAAACAGAGAAGAAUCCCGAUACUUCAGUCACUCGCCACUUUAUUAAUGUCAGGCGAGACACGACUGGUGCUUCUCUUUUCUACUAUCUUUGCAGAAAGUGACAAAAAUCAGACUACUUAACAGAGAUAUUUAAUUUUUUAAGAAGCAUUCAGGCAGGGACCUCUAUGAUUGAAUGAGAUCAUUCAAAGUCUCUGAAUCUGAGGAAAUAAUUAGGAUGGCAGAGGCAGACUUUUUACUUUAUUACCAAUAUGACCGUUCAGCGGCUGAUAUUCAGGAAUCAUUCACAAGGGUUAUUGCUGAAUUAAAUACAGACCAUUCACUGGCGCGCUCUGUCUAUUUCUGCCUUUCAUUGCUGCUGCUUAUGACCUGGUUGAAUCAAAAGGAGCUGAAUUUUUGCCAUUAGUGAGCGAGAUGUAAGAGAGAUAAGGCUGGACUUAAUGAGCUUUCACUCGCUCACUCCGUCUGAGGCAGCAGAUUAAAAGCGACAUCUUGUGGAUAUUAAAGGCAGAAAUCUGCCAAAGCAUCAAGAUUGUCAUCACCAUUUCCACCAUUUCUUAAAACAGACUUGCAGGAGAACUUUGAAUUUGGGAGAUGUUUGUCCUUGUUACUGCAGUUUUGUUUGUCGCUUUAUAAACAUGGUGAGGUUAAAUUCUUCAUUUCAGUCCCGGGCAGCAGAAGCAUGAGUCCCUCUGCUGGUAGAACCCAGUACUGAACUCUUUGUCUACCUUUAUUUGCAAUAUGACGUCAUCCCUUACUGCGCACACACACACACACACACAUUUGUAUUGCCAUCCCUGUGGGGAGACUGUGAGGUGUCUCAUUGCCGUAAUGCUUUCCCCAGCCUCGCACCCUUCACGUAACCCUCCAAAACACAUCGCUCACCAUGACUCUGAACCAAACUGAAACCUGAUUUUAAUGACCCACUUAUUUUGAAGUCUUCAUCCUCAAAUUGAGGUUUGGAGACAUACGGUCCCCACGAGGAUAGUGUGUUGUCAGGAAUUUGUCCCCACAAGGCAGCAAAAACGCACGCAUACUCCUGUCUUCCUAUCUUAGUGAGGACCGUCAUUGACAUAACCCUAUCCCUAGCGUCUUCCCCUAAAUCUAACCAUCUAAAGCAAACAGCUAUAGUGUAGUUUUAACCCUCAAACUGAGGCUUGACAAAGCGAGAACCAGCCAAAAUGUCUUCACUUUGCAAAAUAUGUUUUCACUCUGUUGAUUAAAAACUCAUACAGGUUCUCACAAAGAGAUGUACACACACACACACAGAUGAAACCCAUCCAAUCCUCCCACACCACGAUGAUCCGCAGCGCUCGUGUUUGAACUCAGACAAGUCACUAGUGGGAUCAGACGGCUCAUCAUGAGCGAUGACUGCCAUUCCCACCUGAUUUCAUCAUCACCAGUCUCUGCGUUCCCUCUGACUCUCAUUAGUCUCCUACACAGCGAGGGGAUCAGGGAUGAGAAUUGAUAAGAUUUGAACUAUUCCGAUUCCAUUAUCGAUACUGCUGCAUGAUUCGGUUCCUUGGCGAUUCUCUUAUCGAUUCCUCAGUGGGAAAAAAUGGAAGAGAAACAGGUCGACUUGUAUCAAUAGAUUUGGUUAUCAUUCGAAAACAAAACACUUAAACUAAUACGUAACAAUUGACGGUUUUUUAAGUUUUAUUCAUUGGUUAACUGUGUCGCACAACGGUUUAAAACAUCAAUGUAUGUACCUCAUUUUGUAUGUCUGCUGAUCGUGCAUCAAUUGUCCUAUUUGUAUAACAAUUUAAACGUGACCGGCGUGUGUUGCUGUUCAAAAUUAAAACAGUAAAAGGUAUACACUGGUUCAUAAAUACAUUUUUAUAGCCCAUGAUUUGGGCUGGAGAUGGGCUAGUGAGGCUUCAAGAGACAGUGUCUUUGCAGUUGAAUGAAAUGUUUAUCAUUUUCUAACCUCAGGAGCCGCCUACAGAGGUCUGAAAGUGUUUGUCCACUAGAAUGAUCCACAGAGUUGAGAUCGACAAUUUGACUAAACUGUCGAUUUAGUUUCCAAAGACGACUGUCUCUCCCAUCAUCUAGCAGACUGUAGUAAGAUAUAGUUACCUGAGGAGAGACGUUCAUGAUGUUGCUGUGCACUUCUGAGCCGUUGGCGCGAGCCUCUGUCCUGCUGUCAGCUCUCUUUAGCAUCUGGGCCAUGGCCACAGCGCUGGGGUCUCGCCUCGCCACAGGAGGCUAAGUGACACGGACAGACACAGUGGUUAAGGUCGGAACUUUGCCACUGCAACAAUCCAAGAAUCAUGCAUGGCGUUAAUGAAGGAAACCAAUGAAAUGAACGGAAACACAAAAUCUUUUAUUGGUUAUUGAAAGCCGAUGGUGAUGACAACAAAUACAAAAAAAAACGACAAUACAUAAAAUGCUGGACCUAUAGUGGCUUGUAACAUGGGAAGUCAAAAGACACACAUGUCCGUGUAACAGUGGUGGUCAGGCAGGACGAUGUGCUACCUCCAUGGAAAGCUUCUCUUCGACAGAGUAUCUUUCUCGGGAGCCCAUCAGACGAGAUGAGUAGAACCUGGACGUCUCCUCAAAGUCCUCCCGGCCCACUUCAGGCUCUUUGGGGAAGUCCAUGCAGGGGUGGAGGUCAGUGAUGACGGUGAAGUCCACCUCGGCUUCCAGGCUGGACGUGGAGCUCACAGUCAUGCUGGAGCAUUUUCGCUCAAUCCCGAGGUGAGGUUCUCUCAUGGAGGCAACAGAGUCACGCUCUUGCUCUUCCUCAGAGGCGACACCGGGCUGAGCUCUCCUCUCACUCAACUCCUUCUACAGAACACAGGGGCAGUUGGAGGUCACAGGGAUGAUGAUGAUGAAUGAUGGUGGCAAGGAUAAAAAAGGGUGGAAACACUGAACAAAACCCUGGGUAGACAAUGGACGGAAAUAAUAACAUCUUCAACCGUGUAAUUCCUGUCAACGUAAGUGAUUCUCUGAAUUUAACUCUUUAAACUAACUUAUUUUUUCCCUUAAUUAAGGAAACAAAUAUACAAGAAAUGUUUAAGUGUGUAAAAAAAAUGAUGCUGCAAGGGGAGAACAAAAGUAAAAGUGACUGGACUGGUGUGCAUAUAGAAACAAGUCAGAAACCUUAAAGUCUGUGAAAGGCUCUUCAUAGACUGAAGGAGCAGAGACAGGCUCCUGCAGAGGAAAGGCAGAAUCUAAAGUUAGUUCAACACAUGUCGACCAGAAUGACUCUGACAAAACGUUCCCAUUUUGAGAUUAAUUGUACAAUAACUCCUCAACCCAUGUUUUGGGAAGAUAUGCAGGGCCACACCAGCUGUAGCUCCAUAUUGCCAGUGAUAAAAGCAUAAAUAACACAACAAAGCAGGCAGUGAACAAUGACCAAAGCAAACAGGGAUGCACUGAAAAGUACGGCCUCGAAACACAAGCUGUUUUUCACUGUAGUUUCACAACAUUUUUAAUGUUCUGAAUGUCGUGAUCUGGAAUUUUUUGAUGCAUUGAGAUGAACAUCUGUUCUAGACCAAAUGCCUUAAAGGGUCAUACAGGGAUUUGGAAGCUGCAAUCGACCUGCCUUUUAGCAGGUCACCUUGGCUACGAUGUAAGUGCUCACCCCGCAUGUCACCUUGUGACAGAGUUGUACGCUCCUGCUGUGUUUUGAUGAUGUCACUGAUAUCAAACAGCUUAUCAGAUUGAGCACCUGUUCGCAUCACUUUGAUCAGAUCCACCAAUGCACAAGUGAUGUAAAGAUAGUGUGGUCUUAUCCUGGUCUUAACUAGAGUUCAUCUCCUACCGCUUAGCAUCGCGGACGGCAGAUCAACACACAGUUUUCAGAGUGAAUAAUGGCGUACUGUACAUAACAGAGAAUAUUUUUAGCAUCCAAACAUCUCAUCAAAACUGAGUACCUUCAACUAGCAUUCGAUUUUUUUCAUUAAAUUAUCAGUGCAUCCCUAAAGCCAAGCUCACCAGAAUUUGGCAGAAGCAGAACAAAGAGUCAUGCAGACACAAUGCUUCAACAAAAUGGCGUCAAAAUAAAUCCGUUGACUGUCCAAUAACAGGUGUCAGAGUGUGUUUCAAAUCCCGUCAAGUGACUGUCAAGUCCACGACUCCACGUUUGGACGCAAAACGCAAUUUCAAACACCUCUUCACCCGCCUGUGUAAUCUGUGAUAUGCGAGCGCUGGGCUCGGAUGAGAAGGUGGGAAGCGAUGAAAGCUGUCAUGUCAAUUCGCCUCCAAAUCCUUUUCAUUCGGCUGCCAAAUCCGCACGAGCCCCUAAUGAUGGCAACAGUGAAAUGAAAGCAGCAAAACUGAACGAGUCAGGCUGAGCUGUGGUGUCAUCAGCAGCUUAGACGACACUAGGACUCCAGCGAUCUAUCGGCUUCACAUCCAGAAAAGCUCACCACCAUUAACUUAUUCUUUUAAUCUUUCAUCUGAAGAAAUGCAGUUUGUUCUUGCUUGUGAAAGACGUGAAUAGUUUCUUGGACAUCAUUGCCAAGACUGACUGCUUUGCUUUCAGGAUGCUGACGGAUAUUGAGAGUCGUCUCCAUCCAUCGAUUCUAAUCUAAUGGGAAUGAGUGACCUUCCCCUCCGAUUCAGGAGUAGAAGCUGUGUCACUAGUUCCACGUGCAGUCAUGAUUUGUAUCGUAAAAUUGUAAAGUCAAACAGAUGAUGGCGGCUAUGGUUUUCGUUUUAUUCAAUCAGACUUGAAUUCUUGAAAUUGCGUAUGCAAGCACCAGAAGAUGGACAGAAAUAUGUUGAGGCGCUGCUCUUCACAAACAUCAACUAUGGAUGCUUCAAUGUACUUAAAAGAAAAGGGGAUGGACAUAUAUGACAUGCAAGUCGGUCUGAGGCUCAUGCCAUGUUUUUGUUCCAAUGACGAGUUACCGAGAGUCUCUUCUUGGCUGCAUCGAGGCUCCUCUCCUUGCCCACAUUCCGACUGUUCCGAAGUAUGAGCCCAGACUCCCUGGCCUUCUGAGUCUUCACGGGUGGAGCAGGGGGCGCCAUUUUGGGAAGUACUGUAGCCUUGGAAGUAAACUGCUGACUCUCAACAGCACCCCAAGCAGACGGGUGGCUGUCGUGAUGAUCUUGCUUAGUGCUGCUUUCCACUCCCGGGUGGAAUGUGGAGACUUCGGUCCAGUUUGCGUCUGACGAUCCAUCGGGGGAGCCCACUGACCAGCGGUACUCUCUUCUCAUGCCCCGUACUGGCUCGUCCUGUCCUGCUCUUUCCCUUUCCUUCUCCUCUUUGCACGCGAUGCUCUUUGAUCGCUCCGGCUUCAGAGGGACAAUGCGUGUGAUUUCUGACUGGUGGCUGCCUGACAGCCGAUGGAGUGACGUCCUCUGCCCUCUCUCGCCCAGGAAUCCCUCAAUAUCCUCUCCUCCAGAGCUACUGAUCUUCCUCUCAUGAGUCCUGACCUGUCGCAGCUUAACCUCUGCCAGCUCCUUGUUGUCAAUGAGGCCCUUUCCUCUUAUCUUCAUCACACACUCGGCUUUACCACUUCCUAUUGACUUCUCUAACCUUCCGGGCCCAUUCACUGAACCUGCUUCCAAUUCUGCAGACCCCGCAUGACUCACUUUCCAGUCGUCAACCUCGGUAUUCUGACCGCAGACAUCAGAUAUUUUUAUUGCUGAUAUUUCCUCAUAUUUGCUGACUCUGGACGUGUGAUCCUUGCCCGACUCCUGCUCCUCUUUCAUCAACUCCCCGACCGAUGAUUCACAAGGUUUUCCAGAUUUACAAGGUUUCUCUGUGCUGUUUUCCGAGUCUGAGUUUUCAUCCGCGGUGGAAUCGCUGCCACUUUUUCUGAGCUCCGCAGGGUUUCCCACAUUUAAGCUCUGCGGUCGCCUCUUUUUUCUCGGCUUGGAGCGGUGCUUCAUCUGCUGCGAGAGAUCUGAGCCGCCAGAUGGCAUACUUUGAAAUUUGUCAGUAUUCUCAGACAAUUGAUUAACAAAAUGACUUCUGUUCGCCAGCCAAGGCUCAGAGAAUUCGUCUGCCUCUCUGGUAGGUUGCGUCGAUGGAAAUUCAUCACUAUAGCCUUUGGUUUCUUUCCUAUCGGACCCUGUUGCCUCCAUGUGAAUCAUCUUGACUACAUCUACGUCUUUUUCUUUCUCUUUUUUCUCCCACAAGGAAUCUAUGAUGUUCUGGUCUUUGGCCUUCCAGUCAUGGUCUUCUUGUUUUUCAAUUAAUACCCACUCUUCAGAGCCCUACAUGUUGGUAUAGAUUCACACAAUUAGACACCCUGCUGGAUGGAUCUGGCCCACAGCGUUUACAUGGACAGCAAUGCACUGUAGUUUUGAGGAUAAAGGUCUUCAUCAAAAGUGAUGAAGGAAAGCACAUUUGGCAAGAAAACAAUGACGCUGUUGCGAUACCAAUUGAGUAUGUGUGCACAUCUGUUUAGCAGUCUGUGAAAGUGCAGAACAUUUACAAGGUAUUAUUAAUAUAUCAUUUGGAUUUGACUUUCCGUCUUCUUCUUUCUUUUGACAUUUUCUACAUCUCAAAUAAAAUGCACCCAGAUUUUCUUCUGCUUGCCUAAUGUGACAUUUCUUCAAGUGGAUUUUUCUUUUAAGCAAAAACAAAAGUGUGUUAUUCAGUCAUGUGGGUCCAAACUCAGAACAGCAGGAACCACAAAAAAAUCUAACAGAAGCCAGAAUAAUGUGUUCUUAAAAUAAGUAAUCGUGUUUACACUAUUUCAAAAUAAGCUCUUUGUGAGGAAAGAGAAAGAGAAGAAAAACCAGGAAGAACUUAAUCAGUUCAGAGCUGGAGGUUAGCAACUGCUGCAUUUAGCAAGAUUACAUUGUUACAUUUGGCUCUCUGUAGCCAUUUGCCAUGAUAAUUGGUGUGAUUUGGCACUGGUGCAACAAUGUCGCACUUUCAGACAUGACUCAAAAGUUUGUUUUGAAAUCCUGUGGCUGCUGGGAAUGUUAGAUAGCAUCGUCUAUUCCUUGUGUGAUGCACCGUGACAUAUAGUAAAGCUAUUAUUCUGCCCAAUUGGAAGGCAGAGAGGUGAGAACAGGCAGGGUUUAAGGUCUCACCAUGGAUGGAGGCCAUGUUGUUGGCGAGUGUUCCCUUUUUUAGACAGUCUGGUUCGUUGUAACAAGACAUGGUUGGAUAAACACAUACUUUAAAUAGGAAUAGGAAAUACAUCGUACUCGCAGUAGAGCAAAAGAAAUAUGUAUGUGACUAGCUAUUGACUGCAAAACAAAAAUAUAGUGAAUUCCAUCUCACCCCGGUCUAUAAUCCGAUGUUCCACACCCACUUCUCAGCUUAUAGUCGUUGGUAUUCACUGUUAGUCUCACCGAUAUCAAACCCUUUCGAUCCUCACCCUUAUCAGGUUCAUCUUCAGAUGCUGCCCGCUCUUUCAGUUACGUAUCUCUACACUCAGUGACCUACGUUGCCUCUGCAUGUACAAACAUGUUUUGGACUCUCGUAUUGUUGACCCUUUCUGUCAGUUACCACAACUCGAUCCAGGUGAAAUGCAUUGCAAAAUGCGGUACAAGUUACUGCUAAAAACACAUUGUUUUUUUUCCAUUGCUGUUCAUGUGAACGUAGACAUGCAGUAGAAAACUGAACUUCAGCAUGCUAUCAAACUAGACUAAUGAAAAAGGUAAGAAAAGUUCCACCUCUGGGGAAGUCACCAAGCUCUUCUGGAUGAGACCCUCAACCGAGAGGCUACUAGCAGGCUCCUUUCCUGCCGCUUGGCCCCCCAACUGGCCGAAACAAGAAGGUCAGAAUGGGUUGAAAGGAGAGGAAGGAAGAUUUUAGAGAUGGAAUAAGGCAGGAAAGCCCGACAAGAUUCAUGGGAUAUCUAUGUAGAGAAGGCAGAAGGACUUGAGAAGCAUACAUUCUCAGUUCAGUCCCCAACAGGCGAUGGACGGGCGGUGUGUGUGUGUGUGUGUGUGUGUGUGUGUGUGUGUGUGUGUGUGUGUGUGUGUGUGUGUGUGUGUGUGUGUGUGUGUGUGUGUGUGUGUGUGUGUGUGUGUGUGUGUGUGUGUGUGUGUGUGUGUGUGUGUGUGUGUGUGUGUGUGUGUGUGUGUGUGUGUGUGUGUGUGUCAUGCAGUGUUUCAAUGUUUCAUUUCUGUAUUGUUAUAGUUGUCCUCAGUUGUGUUGCUCAACCCUGCUUACACACAUGCAUCUAAGUAAGUGUAAAAUUACAACUGUAUUGACAAAAAAAUCCAAGUUAUGAUGCCACAUUGGAAGUUGAGGACCAGCAGCUUAUUGAUCAACUGAGGGUCAAUUUGCGGACCGACAUUUGAAUUCAUCUGAUAAAAUAAGGACUAUUGUUCCCAUUUAAGGCCGAUGGGAUUUUGAUCAAACACUACCUAUUGGAAACCGACGACAUCACCAGAAGCUACGUAGCCACAAAAAUAAUGGUGGCUGUUAUCAACAGUCAUUACAGGGAUUUUAGACUUUUCCUCCAGGCAAAGAUCAAAACCUUUUCUCUUAUCAGCCACGAGCACCCUCAACAACCCCAACAGAUUCAAAGGGGUAAUAGCGAAUUUACAGACACCUGACAGUUUUCUUUCGUUUUCAAUUGCAAUGUCAGGAAUAAAACCUGAAGUGAAGUAAAAUAUUGACACGGUACGACAGUCAUUCGUCAUCCAAGCUCUUCCAACUCAAAAAUAUGCUUGCAUGUUAAAAGCUUAGCAGCAGCAUUUCCCUUGAUGGCUGCGUGUGCUUGAUGUGCGAGAUAGCAGGAACUGGGUUACUCUGACAUAUUCAGCUGGAGAAAACACUGUUGUCUGAGAGCGGGGAAAAAGAACAGCAAGGUUGUGGGAGUGUGGUGCUUAUAUCACAGUUAGUCAUGGUCUUUAGAUAAUGACAGGACAACGCCACUUGCUGUCUUUUGUGUGUCGCCGUCUGUGUUUUACAGCAUUUCUGGGGGCAGCAGAUGAAGCUAUCAAGCCCAUAAUUACAGUGCUGUGUGAGGUGACACAUGGGUCGAACGGAGAUCUUCACCAAAUUAAAACAUCAUUCAGCUUGAGAGUGUGGUGCGCGGGUUCACUAAAAAUAUUGCCUUGAUAACAGUGAGGCAGACUCAGCCGAGGCUGACCUUUAACACGCAAUCUGUACAUCAUUUUUCUGGGCAGAAAUUCAAGACAUAGUUGGUGCAGAAGGCUUUUGGUUUCUCUCUGAUUUAUUAAGACGCUGUGGCCCUUUUGGCACCAAUAGGCAGUGACCUCAAAUUGCCGAUAUCAGUGGUAGAGAGUGUGAUGCGGCGGGGAUAACAAUCGUUCAUCUAUUUUGGAGAUCUGGUGCUACAUCUUCAGUGGCCAGGUGGAGAAGGAGCAAAGCCAAGUGGCAAAGCUCUGGAUUUACAGAAGAAUCUAUUCAGUCAGGUGCUUCAGGUCGUGACCGAAAGAAUAGGGGGUUUAGUCGGGAUGCAUACUGGACAUGGGGCAGACCCGAGACAUGUGAUGUCUCUCGAUCAGGCUUUAAGCUUGGAUUUUGAGACAAGGUGUUCCAGUGGUGUGUUGUCCAGCUCUUCCAUACCGCGUCAACCCAUCAAAUGUGAGAGUUGAGACUCGCACGAUGCGGGUAGCUGCGAGAUUGCAAAGACCUGGGUCCACAAAGGCAUGAGAAUCGCCGAAUUUUGAUCAAAUUCAGCAACACUACCGAGCAAGCAACAGCCAUCGCGGGAACAAGGAACGAUUUGAGCACUAUACAUGUGCAGAAACUUAGAGCGCCCAAUUUUUCCUGUUUUUUCAGUUUUGACACCUCCUGUAGCUAAAAGGUGAAGAGCAAAAGUCUGGGUUUGCUCAGACGGCAUCCUGUCCUUCUGGCAGAGUAGGACAUGCUAGAGAGGCGCCCCCUCUACUGGAAACCUACAAUGAUCCCAGAAGGGAAUUGAAGCAAGUAUAUCGUAGCAGGACGAUUCUAAAUGUAAAAAUUGGCUCACUUUACAUGGAAGUCAUUGGAUUUGUCACAUCAACCACAGCGGGGUACAGAAACACACAAUCCCCAACAUGGACUCACAGCUUUCUUCUCCGGCGUGCCGGUCGGCGAGGUUGCUGACAGGCGCUUUUCACGGUUCAUCAGCUUGCUGUUGGGUUCCCUCAGGGCUCGUUUCAGCUCGUUGAUACUGGCCUGGUGUUUCAGCAACACAUCCUGAGACUUAUCCAGGAACUGGAGGGGGAGAAGAAACGGGAGAAAUAGCAUUCGUUUAUUAACUGGCCAUCAACGGCGUUUCAAAUCGGUGAUCGUGUUCGCACAUCCACGCGCGGGUUUGCAUGACGGGACGGACGGUGAAGAAUAACUGAACAGGAUUUAGCCGCACAAAGGUUCAAAUUUGGAUAUGUUAUCUUGCACGAUAUAAUCAUUGAAAACUAAAACAAUGAGAAGACAAACAAGCCAAACAAAGUGGGGUGAAAUGCCAAUAAUAUCAGUGCUAAAUACCCAAAUCCAUGUGAAACAAUUCCUGUCAGAUGUCAUUUUUAGCAAGAUAUGAGGAUCAUUCACGAUCAAAGGUCAUUUAAGAUUUUAAAUCUGGAUGUUAAAAUCAUUGUCUUCAAUGAAUUUGUGUGUUUUUGUAACGUAUCUGGUGAACAUUUUGACACAUCUGUCCAUUAAUUCAAACAAAUUUGGCUAUGAGUAGUGGUAAAUAUAAUUAAAGUCAAGCAACCCAUUUUUCCUUCAUACAGUUGCAUCAUAAGGUUUGCAGCAGCUAAAAAAAGAACACAAUAUAAGAGUUGCAGAGCAACAACCUGGAAACAGUUGUAGUUUUUUUUUCUUAGCUUGUUUAAUGGGGAUUUUGACCGUACCAAUUCAUAACAGUGGCAUCCCUCAUCAUUUUACUCAGUUUGCCUAUUGUGUGUCUCUGAUAUAGAUGGAAUUUUAAAGACCCACAAAUGUAUCAGAAUUAUGCUAAAGCUAAAGUUAAAAGCACUGACGCAAUCCGACAAAAAGUGUUAUCACAUUACGGAACAAAAUGCAGCUCAAUAUUUCACAUUUCUGCGACGGCUCAAAGUAAACACAAGACAGAAGAUUGGAUGAUGCAAAAGGGAUGUAAAUCCAUGCUGAACCCACAGAGAUGAACAGACACAGCAAGAAGCACAACAUCCAAACCUGCACCUCCUGUUUGUGCCGAGGAGUGGCCUCCUGGUCCAACUGAUAGUUUGGGAGAGGAGCAUGGGCAGGCAUGAGGGGGUCAGAGGUGAAGAGUGCAGGAUCAGACAGUGCAGAAGGUGCUUGUCACCAUGCCAAAAGUGUGGGUGAUGUUAUACAACAGAAACUUAUAGGCGGAAAGUUAAGGUUCACCAACUUCAUGGUUUUUCAGUUUUUGACAAAAUGUCAACUUUUAUAUUCCAAUUUGGAUUUACUUUAUACCUAUUUUUGUGCCAGUCACUUGUAUUCCAAAGGGUUGUUUGUGACUGCCAUCAAGUAUAGUAGUACACUAAUAUUUAUACUACAUUUACAAAUGUCAUGAUUGAUUGACUUCAGGUUUGAGCUGUACACAGACACUAAAAUUGUGGUGAGAUGAAGAAAACGGAUUAAAAAAAAAAAAAAAACAAGAAUUUGAAGGAAGCAUAGGUUCGUCCCUAUUUGGCCUGAGCUACAAUAAUACGCUUUAGAAAUUAACCUGGGAAACUAAAGCCUCACACCUAGACUCGACUUUGAGUCUUACUAUCAAGUUUGUUUUACCAUUGCGUCACACAGCACUUGCGAGAGCCAAAAACACAACCCCUUACUUCAAAACUGUAUUCAUAUCCCACUUCAAAUCCCACUUUGACAUCUGCAGUCAAUUUUUUUUAAUCAAAUCUGGUCAGUACAUUCUCAAAUAUCGAGUGGCAAGCGGACUGUAGCGCCCCAACAGUGCGCACUGGUCUGACACGGCACCAUGAGUGAAGCUCAUUGUAUCGAUUAUAUUUGGUACAGUACAUAGAAAGUGGCAUCACAAGUGAAGUAAUAUUGAGAGUUCCGCACGUGUCUUAGUGCCGACCACUCAAUACCAAUAUUGACAAGUCAUGAUCACGUCAUUUUGAAAGUGUCGUCUCGCUAACACAAAUCAACCCUUUACUAAGUAGCUGCUAUUCUUGCCCAUGUGUUUGGUUGCUUUUUUCAGAAGUAUAAAAAAAGAAAACUUGAGUUUGAUUAUAACUCGCAAAAUAUUCUCACAAAUGUUUUCCACCAAAAGCAUAUUCGUAUUUUCCCACAGACAUACAGAGCUCAAACAAGCAGAGAGCGGUCGGCAUGUUGAUGAAAACAUGUUGAAAUGCGUGGAAGCAGACAGACAGCAAAUACCUCCUGUGGUGACUCAGUCUCCUCCUUUGUGCAAGCCAGUUAAAGAGGAAAAGAGGAUGUUAGGAAAAGAUGACUGGCGCUUAAGUUAAUGGAGCUGCUUUGAACAGAGGUGCUGUGAGGACACUACUGGAGUAAUCAAACAAAGCAGCUGGUUACACCACACGCAACAAAGCCAAAGUGACUCCACCACCCUGCAGGACAAAGUUAGCUUCUUUAACUUUUCCAAACUUUCUUGUACCAUGAUUUCCUUCUUCUUGCUUGGAGAGACGUUUCCAUCGUUCUCCCCUUCGUUCUCCGUCUCCUGCUCCUUGUCCUCUUCAUCCUGCUCCAUGCUGGGCUCCAGUUCGGUGUCCUGCUCGUCCAUAGAGGGGCUGCGGAGACGCCGCUGGCCACCGAUGCUAUGGUGAGAGAGACCGUCGUGGUUCUCACACAUGGACGAUACAGGCCGAGAGAACUCUGCUGAAAAAAGGGAUACGGUUGUCAUAUAGGCAUUCCAGGUACGCAAUUCACGAAUGUUUGUUUUUGGCCACCAGUCCAAGGGUGUAAUCUCAAACUGUCGUAGUACUGGGUCUCCAGCCCGAACAGACUUGCAAAGGGAAUUCUAGAAUCCUGAAUCCCUGAAUCCUUCUUGUUUAAGAGGGCAUCCAACUGCGAUCAUCCUAGCAUGGUAGUCUGGGGGCACACAACCCUCUACAGUGUGUCGGACCCAAAAAGGACGACCUCAAGCUUUGGCUCAAAAGAACAGAGACAAGGAGCAGAAAUCCAGGACUUUGUCUUGCGUGAUAGGUCAUUUAAGAGGUUCUGGGUUUGAUAUUGGCAGCAGUAUUGAUACAAAUAUCAGUCAUGUAUGGACAAGGUGGAUGUUUAUCAGCAGUGCACUCACCUCCAUCCAAACUUCUCGACAUCAGGAACCUCUUACUGGUGGAUCGUUCAAAGUGCGGAGCAGGACGAUCUAUUAGGGCACUAGCCUGUCGGGUUUGAGCUUGCGUCCUUCCACUGUACCGGAACUUGGAACCCAUCACCAAGAAGCCUUUAGGGGGAGGUUCUGGGGACACCAAUCUAAGAGUGGGGAAGACGAAAAUAAUUGGUUCUGAUACAGAAAGUCGUCGUGACUCCACACAGAAAGACCUUGCGGUUAAGUAGCUGUAUCAUGCUCUUCACGCUGCUUGUUAAUGAAAUUGUCACCAGUAAAUCCGUGGUGGCCCUGAAUGUGAAGCCUCACUUACUGAUGAAAGGAACCCCGAGAGGGAGAUGACACUGCGACCAACAAGUGCACUUUUGUGCAACAUUUUAUUUUUUUCUGAGUGGCUCUGAUAAAAGUGGGCCAGUCCUUUGUACUUUAGUCAGACAUGCAUGAAACGACCUUCACAAGGUCACUUGUAGUUUAUUGUUCAUUCUUAGGCGGCGUGUAUUCACAGUGUAAAUCUCAUGCUUAAAUUUCUCAGGACAAAAGCAAUUUAAAGGCGCAGACAAAACACUCUGGUGACCUGUGUGUGUUGCUCACACUAGAAAAGCCUGGUUUCCUCUCUUGUUUCACAAAGCGUAGUUGUCUUCACAUAGAUGCAGUUACCUGAAAAAGGUGUGAUGCUCGAUGCAGACCUUCCAAAGCCUCUUGGCGGCUCUGUGGUUGGGGAGCUUAAAUCCAAUCGUGCUUUCAAACUGCUCAUACUAGAGGGAGAAGCAGGAGGUAGAAAUUACAUUUUUGUAAAGGAAAAAAAAAAACAGAUUGCUCUCGAGCAGGAGUUCCACUAAAAUGUCUGAAAAUUGGCCGCGUCACAGACACAGCGUGUCACUUGACUGGUUCUGACCCAGACAGUUGAUCACACUGAAACACAGCGAGGCCAAAAACUGCAGCACUUCACAAUCGCAACAGGGCCAGACCCCGACGGUGCUGGAGGAGUUAAGUUGAGCAUUUGACAGUUUUUGUCUCUCUCCACUUCCCCAAACCUCCCAGCUGACACAAAAAUUCACACCUUCUUUUCAAUGUCUAGAAACUAGAUGCAUGACAUCAUCAUUUGGUUCACAUUUGAGGGACCAUCAUUACCUUGGUUCAUGCUUUACAAUAGAAAAUUGAAUCUUGUUGUGAAUCCAUUCUGAGUACUGAUACUGGAUCAGAACUCUUCUCACCUGCAAAUGUGUGUGAAUUUACGAUAAAAAACUAUUCAAAUGACCAACCAUAUAACAAUAUUUUUACUCCAGAAACUUAAAUUGAAAGCUUGAAAAACUACUCAAAACCGAUUAUUUGGGUGAGUUGUUAUCUAAACAAGCUACACACUAGCUGUGGGGAAAAAAGACACUUAACACGAGCUGUCAGGUUUUAUAACCAGAGUCUUUCAUUCAGUUAACUCCUGCGAGCAAAUUGAAUGUGUAGCUUUGAUAACGGCGGAGAAGAAAGGACCACUGAUGUGUGUAAUUGGUUUGCAGAUAGAACCGGCGUCGAACAAGAGGUUAAGAAUGGCUUUGAUUAGGGAAAGAAAUGUAGAUAGCCUUUCGCCAUUAGCUUAUUAUCUUAUUGGUGGUAAAAUAUUCGAUUUGCGGCUUCAUUCUCUCUGUUAUCCGCCCAAGGUUGGAUAUGUGCUAUUAAACACCGGCACAUUUUCUGACCUUUCAUGAGCUGGAGCAUUUCCUGAAAGUGUGCGGGGAUCCGUGGAGACACUUUUUUUUGAUGGAUUGUUAAACAGAAUUUCAUUGUUCAACAUCAUUUCCCUUUGGUGUUAGAGCUUGGUGAACGGACGUUUUGUAGAUUAAAUGUGCCUUUCUGAAAAGAGUCAGAUCUUACGCCGGAAUGUAUAUUCUAAAAUAAUAAUGGCACGAAUAAUCGUGGCGAAGUCGAAGAAGAAUUUUCGCAAAUGGCUGCCUAGUUCUUUUCUUGCAUCAGGACCUGCUGGUGAUAUUUCAGCUUUACCCUGAAACAUCAAGAUGGUUAUUUCCUCCACAAGGAGAAGCAUCUAACAUGGACAUGAUAUUCCACCCUUUUCCAACUGAGAACCAUGGUCUCAAAGGCUGAUACCUAUCCUCGCACACUGGACAACAUACAGUUACAAGUACAAAUUAAACGGUGAUAAUGUUCUCUAAAACUAAAACCAACGUGAACAAAACACGAUAGUUUCUGUCAUGUGAGUGAGCAGUGUCAGGUCACAAUUAUCCGGGAUGGAUGAAACGGAGUUAUCCGCAUUGAAACAUAGAAUGUCGGUGUAAAUAAAAAGUGUUGUACCUCUCCCGGUCGUAUUUUGAUGUAGAAGUUGCUCCUCUUGUAGGAAAUCUUGAGUAUUUUCGGCCAAGCGAAGCGGUUGAUCCUCAACCUAUCACGGUAAAUCAAAAGGCCAUUGGCGCAGACGCCAAGCAUUAUUUCAAUUCCUUCAGAGUCCUGCAGGCGGUGAAAGAGAGGAAAAUAAACUGAAGAAAUUGCUGAAACAUUUAACUGGAAAAUUUGAUUUUUAAAGGACGGCAAGGGCUACCUUAGCAUGAUGAAGGUCUACGCCAUACAUGGACAAUUUCUUAGCGUUCUCCAAAAAGUUCAUUUCAGCCUCUGCCGGAGUCAUUCCCCUGCAGGCACAACAGCAGUUAACCUUUGUUUGUGCAAGUCCUUAGUCAUCCAAGUCGACAUGUCUAAAGAUUAAGGACAGUGAAAAUAAGUAUCUAAUAUCUUAAAGAAGAUGGCACCACAGAUACAGCUAUGUUGGUGAAGAUGGGACGUAUUUGGGUGAAAACAAACUCAACUCAUACUAAACAUUGUUUUUGUGUUCUUGUAUGAAAAGACAGAACACUUUAGUUGGGUCGCUACUCCAUCUCUGGGCUACUGGAAGCCAUUUUAGGACACAAAAAUGUUGCCACAGGGCAUGACAACAAUAGAAACCCUCUUCCUUUUUGAGAUUUAAAUUGAUACAGCGUCUAUCGCAGGGUGAAAACUGGGGGUAAAUUGUUUGGAACGCUGGCAGGACUCCACAACAGAUGCUGCAGUCAUACGAUGACAUCCAUCAUGGAAUACUUUGGGAAUACCCAUCGGCUGGAGAUAAUUCCAGAGGGGUGAAGUGAUAGAUGACAGAAUGAUUUAAAACAGCAGCACAGACGCAAGUACUUGUAGUUUCGAUGGAGCUCCAUCACUCUCUCCUCCAGCUCACGAGUCUGAUUGGGGGCAAAGUGGAAAUCGCUGACGUAAUCGGCAGCGUGCUCAUCCUGGUCAUAGUCGCCCAGUUCGGCUUGUACGGUGUAAGAGCCCAGCAGGGCGUGAGUGACGAAUGAGCAGGGCAGACGGCCUGACAGCAUGUCAUCCCUCAGCUGCAGACACAGGUAGUAUCUGUCAGACGAAACAAAACGAGAAAAGAGAAGAAUGUUGGCAGUCAAAGGACGCUGAGUCGCACAAGUUCCGACAAGCAGUAAAUCUGUCGCAGUUAGUGGCAUUCCAAGGCUGAUCCGAGGGUAGCAGCUGGGGAUCACGCUUGCGUUGACGUAUGCCAUGUAAACUGCUGCAGUGGUUUACGUAAAGCAGAGGAUUCCAGAUGCAGCUGUAAUCUACCUGGUGAUGUCUUCUGUAAGCUGGGACGGGUCAGGAGGAUAGAACUUGACAGCAAAGGCAAAGUUCCAUGGAGAGUCUGAUGGAAAGACGAAAGGAUGGUCUUUAAAAUUAAUAUUGAAAGUCGGCAUUAAUCUGGGUAAUUUCUUGGCUUUGACACUCACUGCGCAUCUGCUUCUUGAUCUCCUUGGAGGGGUCCAACCAGUUCUGAAAGACAGAAGGGAGAAGUCCUCAGGGGACAGCCUGGUGUCACGCGCAUCCUGGUGCCACGUCUUCAAUCUAAUUUCCAUCAGUGUUCAUAAUGGCACGCUCUCCAGAUGGUGCAACUCAAAUGUACUCCACAGCAGCUCAAAGAGAGGGGAUUGAAUUAAAGCACCUUGCUUGUGUCACUGUUGAAUGUUCAAGGUGUCCAUGGUUAACUACAGUAACAUGUAAGCACUGCGCUAGUUGUCACACUGACUCGGGUCGGGAACCUCAUGGUUAGAUUUUGAUUCUAUAGGUUGCGAUUCAAUUCAUUUAUUCUCGCGCAAAUUCUUUAAUGCAAAUUCAAAAGCAGAAAAACACAAAUAAUGAGAGAAAUCAGAAAAGAAAAUUUACACAAUAAUCUAUAUGCACAUAUGUAGUACAGAAGUGUCAGACACAACAGUUCUGUAUGAACACAGAAAAACUAAAGUUCUUUUUUUAUGAUACUAUGUUGUUGGGGGAUCAUGCAGCGGGUGGACUGAAGCUCCCUGGUGGGAGUUUGUGAUCUCCGAUUGCUUUUCUAGUUCUCACUUCAAUUCUCAUGUAAUAGAAUACAAUUUUCAAAUCUGAAAAUUGCUGAGCUGAAGCAAGCUCCCCGAGACUGCGGUAGAAAACCUGGCAACCCACUCCACCAGUGACAGAGGCACGGCGCUGUCACCUCAGCGUUUCGUCUGAUAACCAAGUGGGAGCAGUUCAUCACCAGUCAAAGAUUAUUUGGACUGUCCCAUCCAUGUCUCACUUGUUAGCUCUUCAAUUUGACCCCUUUCCCCAUCACCUGUGGUGUCAAGUAUCAAGUACGGUACCGCUCUGCCGUCGACUUUCAAAUGUGAUUCUACAUACAGUGUUGAACUUUGAAAAUGUAUCCACUUUGAUUACCAUCAACUGAGCCAUCUAUUGAGCCUCUAUAUUAAACCGGAAACCAAAAAUGGAAGCCCUGUAUGUCUGAGUUUUAGGGUUGUGGGAGCCUCUCAAUACAGUGAACAGGACUGGGUUCAUACAUUUUUUUCCAUGUGCUGCAGUGCUUUGUUCCUUUCACUUUAUUAAAGUUAACUCCAUCAAAUGUGCAUCAAUAAACGUCGCAACUAGUUGAUAUUUUCAAGUACGUAUAUGUGAGGUUUGGACCAUUACACUAUGUAGACAGGCGGACAAUAGCAGAAGACAUUUGAGAUAGACACUCUGUGACACUGACGUAGUAAUAAUUCAACAGUCACACUUCAUAAAACUUCUUUUAAUCAAUCCUUUCAUUGUUAUGGAUUACAUUUCCCUGCCUUGCCUGUCUCGCUCCUGCUCCCUGUGGUUUCGACUCAUUGCCUCAUGUGUUUUCUCAAAAUAUCCUUUCAUUUUCGACACUGAUGAAAGUGCAGUGUCCGCUGAAAUCCAUCUCAGUAAAACAGAGUCCAAUACGGCAAAUGAAUAAUACAUUCGUCAUAGAUCAAAGGGCAUGUGUAUUAGGAGAGUGCCGUGCUCGUUUUUCCAAGUGUUUUUCAAACACACAUUUGCAUGCUUAUUGCUGCGUAUUACCAUAUAAUAUCCCCAAAUAUGACCAACUGCAUUGCAAUGAUGGGACGGAGAAAACAUUUCAAAUAAAUUUGAAAGGCAUCAGACUGCAGACAGACAUUCAAAAAUGUAUUAUAAUGCCAUCAGCAGAUACGUGUGUUGGCGUAUAACUGCUAUUAGAUAUCACGCUGUGUGGGCUCUUUGUUGUCAAAAGCCCUCACACAUAAUGGAACAUAGAUAAUGGAACAAUGGAGGCAGGUAAAUGGAGGACCAUGGGCUGCUGCCUCCAUCGAGAUUUCAGGAAAGGAAAAAGGGGAUCAACAUUUUCUAGAGCAAGUUAUUGAAGAAGCUUAAGUCAGUAAAGGUCAUAAUGUUGAUUUAAAUGUUGCCAACCAUGUGACCUGAAAAGGGUCUCUUAUAUGGAGCCUAAGUCUCUACCCCUCUCGGUUGGCAUAUUGGGGGGGAUGUGGGGGGGGAUCAAAGUUAUUUCUCUAUUUAAAUGAGAAAUAAUGAUGUUUCAACUACAUACAUCGUGUCGUUUGUCAUUUCUGUGCUUGUGAAAACACAAUUAUUUGGGCUACAAGUCAAACAUCGCAUGUAUUAGAUCACAGCAGAAUCCGACUGCUCCAACACUAAGCCAGAUGCUAAAGGUACUAAACUGAGGUUGAAGCUUGCAAACAUUAGCUGACAUGGUUAAACACUGUGACCCUGUAGAGCGUCUCCCGCCUACUGGCUCUCACUCGACUGACUAUCAAGUCAGAGUCCAUGACAAGCAUUGUAGUUGGCUACUACACAUCACACAAAACCUAAAGUAACUUUUGAUGCCGGAGGAAAUGCAGCUCUCCCACUGCAUUUGAAUGUAUCUUUCAAGUUCACUGACAUCGUAUGUGAGAUCUGUGGCACA